GGUGAGAUGGCCGAGUUGGUUAUGGCGCCAGGUUAAGGUUCUCUUAACAGUUUUCCUGGUCACGAAAGUGGCGUGGGUUCGAGUCCCACUCUCAUCA
rnacentral:tRNA from 1 species